UACGGGGGGGGCAAGCGUUGUUCGGAAUUACUGGGCGUAAAGGGCUCGUAGGUGGCCAACUAAGUCAGACGUGAAAUCCCUCAGCUUAACUGGGGAACUGCGUCUGAUACUGGAUGGCUUGAGUUUGGGAGAGGGAUGCGGAAUUCCAGGUGUAGCGGUGAAAUGCGUAGAUAUCUGGAGGAACACCGGUGGCGAAGGCGGCAUCCUGGACCAAUACUGACACUGAGGAGCGAAAGCCAGGGGAGCAAACUGG
rnacentral:rRNA from 1 species